UACAGAGGGUGCGAGCGUUAAUCGGAAUUACUGGGCGUAAAGCGUGCGUAGACGGUUAUUUAAGUCGGGUGUGAAAGCCCCGGGCUCAACCUGGGAAUUGCAUUCGAGACUGAAUAGCUAGGGUACGGUAGAGGGAAGUGGAAUUUCCGGUAUAGCGGUGAAAUGCGUAGAUAUCGGAAGGAACAUCAGUGGCGAAAGCGACUUCCUGGACCAGUACCGACGUUCAGGCACGAAAGCGUGGGGAGCGAACAGG
rnacentral:rRNA from 1 species